rnacentral:tRNA from 1 species
AGUUUUGUAGUUGAAUAACAACAUUGGUUCUUCAAGCCAAAAGUCCCAUAAGGGUAAAACUU